rnacentral:rRNA from 1 species
GAUGAACGCUGGCGGCGUGCUUAACACAUGCAAGUCGAACGAAGCGCUUAAGCUGAUUUCUUCGGAUUGAUUCUUAGGUGACUGAGUGGCGGACGGGUGAGUAACGCGUGGGUAACCUGCCUCAUACAGGGGGAUAACAGUCAGAAAUGGCUGCUAAUACCGCAUAAGCGCACAGUACCGCAUGGUACAGUGUGAAAAACUCCGGUGGUAUGAGAUGGACCCGCGUCUGAUUAGCUGGUUGGUGGGGUAACGGCCCACCAAGGCGACGAUCAGUAGCCGGACUGAGAGGUUGAACGGCCACAUUGGGACUGAGACACGGCCCAG